AAGGAAUAUUGGUCAAUGGAGGCAACUCUGAACCAGCCAUGCCGCGUGAAGGAUUAAGGCCCUCUGGGUUGUAAACUUCUUUUAUAUGGGAAGAAAUGUACUUUUUCUAAAGUGCUUGACGGUACCAUAGGAAUAAGCACCGGCUAACUCCGUGCCAGCAGCCGCGGUAAUACGGAGGGUGCAAGCGUUAUCCGGAUUUCCUGGGUUUAAAGGGUGCGUAGGCGGAUGAAUAAGUCAGUGGUGAAAUCUCCGAGCUUAACUCGGAAACUGCCGUUGAUACUAUUUGUCUUGAAUAUUGUGGAGGUAAGCGGAAUAUGUCAUGUAGCGGUGAAAUGCUUAGAUAUGACAUAGAACACCAAUUGCGAAGGCAGCUUGCUACACAAUCAUUGACGCUGAGGCACGAAAGCGUGGGG
rnacentral:rRNA from 1 species